ACGCUGGCGGCGUGCCUAAUACAUGCAAGUAGAACGCUGAAGAGAGGAGCUUGCUCUUCUUGGAUGAGUUGCGAACGGGUGAGUAACGCGUAGGUAACCUGCCUUGUAGCGGGGGAUAACUAUUGGAAACGAUAGCUAAUACCGCAUAACAAUAGGUGACACAUGUCAUUUAUUUGAAAGGGGCAAUUGCUCCACUACAAGAUGGACCUGCGUUGUAUUAGCUAGUAGGUGAGGUAACGGCUCACCUAGGCGACGAUACAUAGCCGACCUGAGAGGGUGAUCGGCCACACUGGGACUGAGACACGGCCCAGGCUCCUACGGGAGGCAGCAGUAGGGAAUCUUCGGCAAUGGGGGCAACCCUGACCGAGCAACGCCGCGUGAGUGAAGAAGGUUUUCGGAUCGUAAAGCUCUGUUGUAAGUCAAGAACGAGUGUGAGAGUGGAAAGUUCACACUGUGACGGUAGCUUACCAGAAAGGGACGGCUAACUACGUGCCAGCAGCCGCGGUAAUACGUAGGUCCCGAGCGUUGUCCGGAUUUAUUGGGCGUAAAGCGAGCGCAGGCGGUUUGAUAAGUCUGAAGUUAAAGGCUGUGGCUCAACCAUAGUUCGCUUUGGAAACUGUCAAACUUGAGUGCAGAAGGGGAGAGUGGAAUUCCAUGUGUAGCGGUGAAAUGCGUAGAUAUAUGGAGGAACACCGGUGGCGAAAGCGGCUCUCUGGUCUGUAACUGACGCUGAGGCUCGAAAGCGUGGGGAGCGAACAGGAUUAGAUACCCUGGUAGUCCACGCCGCAAACGAUGAGUGCUAGGUGUUGGAUCCUUUCCGGGAUUCAGUGCCGCAGCUAACGCAUUAAGCACUCCGCCUGGGGAGUACGACCGCAAGGUUGAAACUCAAAGGAAUUGACGGGGGCCCGCA
rnacentral:rRNA from 1 species